CUACGGGUGGCUGCAGUGGGGAAUAUUGCACAAUGGGCGCAAGCCUGAUGCAGCCAUGCCGCGUGUAUGAAGAAGGCCUUCGGGUUGUAAAGUACUUUCAGCGGGGAGGAAGGGAGUAAAGUUAAUACCUUUGCUCAUUGACGUUACCCGCAGAAGAAGCACCGGCUAACUCCGUGCCAGCAGCCGCGGUAAUACGGAGGGUGCAAGCGUGAAUCGGAAUUACUGGGCGUAAAGCGCACGCAGGCGGUUUGUUAAGUCAGAUGUGAAAUCCCCGGGCUCAACCUGGGAACUGCAUCUGAUACUGGCAAGCUUGAGUAUAGUAGAGGGGGGUAGAAUUCCAAGUGUAGCGGUGAAAUGCGUAGAGAUCUGGAGGAAUACCGGUGGCGAAGGCGGCCCCCUGGACGAAGACUGACGCUCAGGUGCGAAAGCGUGGGGAGCAAACAGGAUUAGAUACCCGUGUAGUC
rnacentral:rRNA from 1 species